rnacentral:rRNA from 1 species
GAAGGUGGCUAGCGUUGUUCGGUGUCACUGGGCUUAAAGCGUGUGUAGGCGGAAUUGAAAGCGUCUUGUGAAAGCCCCCGGCUUAACCGGGGAACUGCAGGACGAACUUCAAUUCUUGAGGCAAGUAGGGGUGCAUGGAACUCUUGGUGGAGCGGUGGAAUGCGUAGAUAUCAAGAGGAACGCCAAUGGAGAAAUCAGUGCACUGGGCUUGUCCUGACGCUGAGACACGAAAGCGUGGGGGAGCGAACGGGAUUAGAUACCCCGGUAGUCCACGCUGUAAACGAUGUCUAUUAGGUUGCGGGAGUUCUGACACUGUCGCGACCGAAGCAAAAGUGUUAAGUAGACCGCCUGGGGAGUACGGUCGCAAGGCUA